rnacentral:rRNA from 1 species
AUCUAGGCUCUUGCAUCGAUGAAGAACGUAGCGAAAUGCGAUACUUGGUGUGAAUUGCAGAAUCCCGUGAACCAUCGAGUCUUUGAACGCAAGUUGCGCCCGAUGCCAUUAGGUUGAGGGCACGUCUGCCUGGGUGUCACAUAUCGAAGCCUCCUGCCAA